CGGCACGGGUGAGUAACACGUGAAUAAUCUACCUUCGAGUGGGGAAUAACUGAGAGAAAUCUUAGCUAAUACCGCAUAAUACCUACGGGUCAAAGCAGCAAUGCGCUUGAAGAGGAGUUCGCGGCAGAUUAGUUAGUUGGCGGGGUAAUGGCCCACCAAGACGAUGAUCUGUAUCCGGCCUGAGAGGGCGCACGGACACACUGGAACUGAAACACGGUCCAG
rnacentral:rRNA from 1 species